UCUUGGAGGCCUGCCUGUCGAGCAGCUGGGUAUCAACAUGCAGAUGCUCCCACCUCACCCACCCUCAGCUUCUCUCUGUUCUGGUGUCUGCUCUGUGACUUAAAUCAGUUUUUUCCCUCCUCGGCCAGUGGAGCUUGAAGCUCUUCCUACCAUCUGGUAAAGGACUGUGGAAUGGCUAUGUGGCGGUGGCACAGGGAGAUGGAGCAUUGGAGGUGAGAUGAGGACAGCUAACGGUUUGUUUUGGAAGUAGUUGGCUCCGCACUCUUCCUGCAAGCAUACGUGAUUCAGACAGCCUUGGCUUGCAGCUCAACUUCGCAGGCACACGGCAAGUUUGCGUUUCCCCAUUCUGUGAUCGCUGGCAGAACCGUAUGACUUGCUUUGGCCAAAAGGUUGAUUCUUUGGGAUUUUGUGUCCCCAGACGGCUGGGGUCUGCUGUGGAGUUCGUUUUCCAGGGGCUACAGCUCAGUCUCAUCUUUAGCCACAUUUG